CAGUUACUCCCUCCGUCCGGAAAUACUUGUCGGAGAAAUGGAUGUAUCUAGAUGUAUUUUAGUUUUAGAUACAUCUAUUUUUAUCCAUUUCUUCGAUAAAUAUUUUCGGACGGAGGGAGUACAAC
rnacentral:pre_miRNA from 1 species